GAUGAACGCUGGCGGCGUGCCUAAUACAUGCAAGUCGAGCGAACGGACGAGAAGCUUGCUUCUCUGAUGUUAGCGGCGGACGGGUGAGUAACACGUGGAUAACCUACCUAUAAGACUGGGAUAACUUCGGGAAACCGGAGCUAAUACCGGAUAAUAUUUUGAACCGCAUGGUUCAAAAGUAAAAGACGGUCUUGCUGUCACUUAUAGAUGGAUCCGCGCUGCAUUAGCUAGUUGGUAAGGUAACGGCUUACCAAGGCAACGAUGCAUAGCCGACCUGAGAGGGUGAUCGGCCACACUGGAACUGAGACACGGUCCAGACUCCUACGGGAGGCAGCAGUAGGGAAUCUUCCGCAAUGGGCGAAAGCCUNGACGGAGCACGCCGCGUGAGUGAUGAAGGUCUUCGGAUCGUNAAACUCUGUUAUUAGGGAAGAACAUAUGUGNUAGUAACUGUGCACAUCUUGACGGUACCUAAUCAGAAAGGCACGGGCUACUACGUGCCAGCAGCCGCGUAAUACGUAAGUGGGCAGCGUUAUCCGGAUUUAUUGGGCGUAACGCGCGUAGCGGUUUUUUAGUCUGAUGUGAAAGCCCACGGCUCAGCCGUGGAGGGUCAUUGGAAACUGGAAAACUUGAGUGCAGAAGAGGAAAGUGGAAUUCCAUGUGUAGCGGUGAAAUGCGCAGAGAUAUGGAGGAACACCAGUGGCGAAGGCGACUUUCUGGUCUGUAACUGACGCUGAUGUGCGAAAGCGUGGGGAUCAAACAGAAUUAGAUACCCUGGUAGUCCACGCCGUAAACGAUGAGUGCUAAGUGUUAGGGGGUUUCCGCCCCUUAGUGCUGCAGCUAACGCAUUAAGCACUCCGCCUGGGGAGUACGACCGCAAGGUUGAAACUCAAAGGAAUUGACGGGGACCCGCACAAGCGGUGGAGCAUGUGGUUUAAUUCGAAGCAACGCGAAGAACCUUACCAAAUCUUGACAUCCUUUGACAACUCUAGAGAUAGAGCCUUCCCCUUCGGGGGACAAAGUGACAGGUGGUGCAUGGUUGUCGUCAGCUCGUGUCGUGAGAUGUUGGGUUAAGUCCCGCAACGAGCGCAACCCUUAAGCUUAGUUGCCAUCAUUAAGUUGGGCACUCUAAGUUGACUGCCGGUGACAAACCGGAGGAAGGUGGGGAUGACGUCAAAUCAUCAUGCCCCUUAUGAUUUGGGCUACACACGUGCUACAAUGGACAAUACAAAGGGCAGCGAAACCGCGAGGUCAAGCAAAUCCCAUAAAGUUGUUCUCAGUUCGGAUUGUAGUCUGCAACUCGACUACAUGAAGCUGGAAUCGCUAGUAAUCGUAGAUCAGCAUGCUACGGUGAAUACGUUCCCGGGUCU
rnacentral:rRNA from 1 species